GGAAUAUUGGUCAAUGGGCGCGAGCCUGAACCAGCCAAGUAGCGUGCAGGACGACGGCCCUAUGGGUUGUAAACUGCUUUUAUGCGGGGAUAAAGUCGGCUACGCGUAGCCGUUUGUAGGUACCGCAUGAAUAAGGACCGGCUAAUUCCGUGCCAGCAGCCGCGGUAAUACGGAAGGUCCGGGCGUUAUCCGGAUUUAUUGGGUUUAAAGGGAGCGCAGGCUGAUGAUUAAGCGUGACGUGAAAUGUAGCCGCUCAACGGCUGAACUGCGUCGCGAACUGGUUAUCUUGAGUGAGUUCGAUGUUGGCGGAAUUCGUGGUGUAGCGGUGAAAUGCUUAGAUAUCACGAGGAACCCCGAUUGCGAAGGCAGCCGACGAGUCCCUUACUGACGCUAAAGCUCGAAGGUGCGGGUAUCGAACA
rnacentral:rRNA from 1 species